UACGAAGGGGGCUAGCGUUGCUCGGAAUCACUGGGCGUAAAGGGCGCGUAGGCGGCCAUUCAAGUCGGGGGUGAAAGCCUGUGGCUCAACCACAGAAUUGCCUUCGAUACUGUUUGGCUUGAGUUUGGUAGAGGUUGGUGGAACUGCGAGUGUAGAGGUGAAAUUCGUAGAUAUUCGCAAGAACACCAGUGGCGAAGGCGGCCAACUGGACCAACACUGACGCUGAGGCGCGAAAGCUAGGGGAGCAAACAGG
rnacentral:rRNA from 1 species